rnacentral:rRNA from 1 species
UACGGAGGAUGCAAGCGUUAUCCGGAUUCAUUGGGUUUAAAGCGUGCGCAGGCGGGGGAAUAAGUCAGUGGUGAAAAGCUGCCGCUCAACGGUAGUCUUGCCAAUGAUACUGUUUUUCUUGAGUAUGGUUAAGGUAGGUGGAAUGUGCAGUGUAUCGGUGAAAUGCAUAGAGAUUGCACAGAAGGCCGAUUGCGAAGGCAGCUUACUGAACCAUAACUGACGCUCAUGCACGAAAGCGUGGGGAUCAAA